GUGCUCGCUUCGGCAGCAUAUAUACUAACAUUGGAGUGAUACAGAGAAGAUUAGCAUGGCCCCUGUGCAAGGAAAAUAGCCAUUAUGAUGAUUAUUACUUUAUA
ensembl:snRNA U6 U6 spliceosomal RNA